UUCUGCUCCUGUGAUAAUUAGGUACUGUGUUAUGACCAAUCAGCCCUAUACCGCUAAGUGCCCUCAUGGACCCAAAAUAGAGCUGUCUCACUGAAGCCGUCUUCAGAAGUCCUUAAAGCAUACUGAUGGCUGUCCAAACUGUUUGUUCCUUCUUCUUCCUUUGUUAUCAUGAUCCUGUGAACAACAAUCCCCAAGGAGAUGGGAGAUCCACCACAUAAAGGCCCACUGAAUGACAAGAUAUAAAGUAGAUUUCCAAAUGGUUCUGGAUUCUGCAUUCAUCUUCUUCAAACCUUCAAACCUUAAUAUUACCUUCAAUGUGAAAAAAGACUUGUGUGAAGAACAGCCAGCAAAGCCUGAUCACACUUGCUUCCAGAUCUUCCAAGGUUUGCUCCACCCAUGUGAUCUCUACCCUAAAGAAAAAGGAUGAGGAAGAAGAGGAGGAGGAAAAGGAAGAGGAAAAGGAAGAGGAAGAAGACUACCCAUAUACUCACUGGGCAUGAUCAAACUUCAGUAGCUAGUCCCUUACAAAAAAAAAAAAAUAGAGUCCUUUUCCACCCACACCCAUUGAAGAAACCAUCUGUUGUGGUGAGCUACUCUUCAUUAUCCUUAUCACAAUAUUAAAGAAUUCUCUUCUA